UAUGAUCCAAUAAGAGAUAACUUAUCUCUGAUGCAAAGUGUCAAGGAUGAUCAAAUGAUCGUUCUUCAACAAGUUUGAAACAAAGAAGAUUGAGUCAUCUUAAGGACCAUCCCUCAAGAAUCAGGAUGUUCAAAAUAUGAUCACCUCAACAAUCAUUCAAAUGCCAUAAUCAUUAAUGAACAAAAAUCAACUUAAAAAUCAAAUCAAAUAAAAUAAUUUAAAUAAAUAAAUGAUAAACAAAAUAAAAUAAAGUAUAAUAAAUAAUAAAAUAAAGAUAG
rnacentral:lncRNA from 1 species